UCCAGGGUAACCUAGUGGACAUGGCAUCUGCCCGGUAAGCGGAACACUGUGGGUUCGAUUCCCAUCCCUGGAA
rnacentral:tRNA from 1 species